GGGGGCAACUCCGCGAGUAAAGUGGCAGACGGGUGAGUAACACGUGAGCAAUCUACCCUCGAGCGUGGGAUAACCCCGCGAAAGCGGGGCUAAUACCGCAUAACAUCCCCGGGUCGCAUGAACUGGGGAUCAAAGGCUUCGGUCGCUAGAGGAGGAGCUCGCGCCUGAUUAGCUAGUUGGUGAGGUGACGGCCCACCAAGGCAACGAUCAGUAGCCGGCCUGAGAGGGCGUACGGCCACACUGGAACUGAGACACGGUCCAGACUCCUACGGGAGGCAGCAGUGGGGAAUUUUGCGCAAUGGGCGAAAGCCUGACGCAGCAACGCCGCGUGGAGGAUGAAGGCCUUCGGGUCGUAAACUCCUGUCAGGGGGGACGAAACGCCAGAAAUGGCUCUGACUGUACCCCCGGAGGAAGCCACGGCUAACUCCGUGCCAGCAGCCGCGGUAAUACGGAGGUGGCUAGCGUUGUUCGGAAUUACUGGGCGUAAAGGGCGCGUAGGCGGCAUUGCAAGUCGGAUGUGAAAGCCCCGGGCUCAACUCGGGAAUUGCAUCCGAAACUGCUUUGCUUGAGUCCUGGAGGGGGGUAGUGGAAUUCCCAGUGUAGCGGUGAAAUGCGUAGAUAUUGGGAGGAACACCGGUGGCGAAGGCGGCUACCUGGACAGUGACUGACGCUGAGGCGCGAAAGCUAGGGGAGCGAACGGGAUUAGAUACCCCGGUAGUCCUAGCCGUA
rnacentral:rRNA from 1 species